AACGAACGCUGGCGGCAUGCCUAACACAUGCAAGUCGAACGAGACCUUCGGGUCUAGUGGCGCACGGGUGCGUAACGCGUGGGAACCUGCCCUUAGGUUCGGAAUAACUCCCCGAAAGGGGUGCUAAUACCGGAUAAUGUCUUCGGACCAAAGAUUUAUCGCCUUUGGAUGGGCCCGCGUUGGAUUAGCUAGUUGGUAGGGUAAAAGCCUACCAAGGCGACGAUCCAUAGCUGGUCUGAGAGGAUGAUCAGCCACACUGGGACUGAGAGACGGCCCAGACUACUAAGGGAGACAGCAGUGGGGAAUAGUGCACGAUGGGCGAAAGCCUGAUGAAGCGACGCCGCGUGAGGGAUGGAGGCCUUCGGGUGGGGAACCGCUUUCGCAAGUGAAGCAGGCCUGCCUCGUUUGUGGGUGGGUUGACGGUAGCUGGAUAAGAAGCGCCGGAUAACUACGUG
rnacentral:rRNA from 1 species